rnacentral:rRNA from 1 species
UACGUAGGGUGCAAGCGUUAAUCGGAAUUACUGGGCGUAAAGCGUGCGCAGGCGGUUCGUUGUGUCGGCGGGGAAAGCCCCGGGCUUAACCUGGGAAUGGCCGUUGAAACUGGCGAACUGGAGUGUGGCAGAGGGGGGUGGAAUUCCGCGUGUAGCAGUGAAAUGCGUAGAGAUUGCCAGGAACACCAAUGGCGAAGGCAGCUUGCUGGGCUACUCCUGACACUGAGGUACGAAAGCGUGGGGAGCGAACAGG